rnacentral:rRNA from 1 species
AUACGGAGGGUGCAAGCGUUACUCGGAAUCACUGGGCGUAAAGCGCGCGCAGGCGGUCUUUUAAGUUGGAUGUGAAAGCCUACGGCUCAACCGUAGAACUGCAUCCAAAACUAUUAGACUAGAGUGUGGGAGAGGAAGAUGGAAUUAGUUGUGUAGGGGUAAAAUCCGUAGAGAUAACUAGGAAUACCAAGAGCGAAGGCAAUCUUCUGGAACACUACUGACGCUGAGGCGCGAAAGCGUGGGGAGCAAACAGGAUUAGAAACCCUAGUAGUCC